UACGUAGGGGCCUAGCGUUGUCCGGAUUUAUUGGGCGUAAAGAGCUCGUAGGCGGUUCGGCAAGUCGGAUGUGAAAUCUCCACGCUCAACGUGGAGGGCCAUUCGAAACUGCUGUGACUUGAGUCCGGUAGGGGGGUGUGGAAUUCCCGGUGUAGCGGUGAAAUGCUUAGAUAUGACAUAGAACACCAAUUGCGAAGGCAGCUUACUUCACGAUCAUUGACACUGAGGCACGAAAGCGUGGGGAGCAAACAGG
rnacentral:rRNA from 1 species